rnacentral:lncRNA from 1 species
UAUGGAAAGAUUGUAGAGAAAAAUAAUAAUAACAAUAAUAAAUAAAUAGAGAAAGAAAUGUUUUUGAAUAAUUUUUUUUUUUUGAGAGGUACGUAGCAUGCUACCCGCUUCGUUUAUUUCAUUUAGAAAUAAAAUUAGCUAGAAAUGUGAAUCAAUUAGGAUUCGAACUUAGAAUCUCAGGUACGAAUUUAGGAUCUCGGGUAUAAAUUAUCAAGCUUUUCGCCACUUGUGUUAGGGACGGUCGGUAAUAAAAGAAAUUAUUGAAUUACAAC